GAUCCUGUAGUUAAAUGGACUAGAACAGCAAAUUGCGGAUUUGCAGAUGGGGGUUCAAUUCCUCCCAGGAUCA
rnacentral:tRNA from 1 species